rnacentral:rRNA from 1 species
CAAUAGCGUAUAUUAAAGUUGUUGCGGUUAAAAAGCUCGUAGUUGGAUUUCUGCCGAGGACGACCGGUCCGCCCUCUGGGUGAGUAUCUGGCUCGGCCUGGGCAUCCUCUUGGAGAACGUUACUGCACUUGACUGUGUGGUGCGGUAUCCAGGACUUUUACUUUGAGGAAAUUAGAGUGUUUCAAGCAGGCCUUCGCCUUGAAUACAUUAGCAUGGAAUAAUAAGAUAGGACCUCGGUUCUAUUUUGUUGGUUUCUAGAGCUGAGGUAAUGAUUAACAGGAACGGUUGGGGGUAUUCGUAUUCAAUUGUCAGAGGUGAAAUUCUUGGAUUUAUGGAAGACGAACUACUGCGAAAGCAUUUACCAAGGAUGUUUUCAUUAAUCAAGAACGAAAGUUAGGGGAUCGAAGACGAUUAGAUACCAU